CGCGAUCGCCCCCUCUUCCCCUCCCUGUUAAAUACACAAAUAUAUUAUAUUCAAUAUGAAUCGAGUCUGUUUCCAGCAGAAAAAAAACAUACAAAAAAAAGUGGAAGGACUGGGCGCAGGUGUGGUUUGCGGCGCCCCUAGGUCCCAGGGUGGGUGCCCACCGCCUGCUCCCUGGACCCCAGUGGGAGGCGUGUGCCCAGCCGUCCAAGCGAGGGGGUGUCCGUAAAGGGGCAGGGGACGUUCAGAAGGCGUGUCCCUUGACCCCAAGCAGCAGCUGACAGCCGUUGCUGACGUGGGUCAUGACCUUCUGUUUGAGCUGGGCCAC
rnacentral:lncRNA from 1 species